UUGGUGAUGACCCAGAUGUACCACCCCUGAGGAGAACUAACAGGCGUAUCUGAACCUCAAUAUCCAACAGAGGACAGAGAACAGCGGACCUCCGAUGAGCCUGGCAGUGUUGAACCUGCAGCCACAGGACCCUCAACGUCAAAAAGAAGAAAGGAAACUGAGCCUGACAGUUGGGAUCUUAAAACAGAAACCUCAAAGAAGAGGAGUUGGUCAUUGGCAGAGGUCCACGCAGUGGAAAAGACACUAAAAUGUGGUAAAGUACCAGGGA